AUUAAAAUAAUAAUAAUAAAUUAAUCUACUAUUUAGUAAAGAAGAAUAAGGAUGUACCUACUCCACCUGCUCUUAUGUCUGGUCUCUGUUCUCCAACACUCCAUACAACAGGCAGCUGGAUAGUUCCUGAGCUCACUAAGAUCUUGUCUAGAUCACGUCACUUCAUCAGCUCCUCUGUGAAUAGUUUCUUCAUUACUUACUUCAGAAUUCAGCUGAGUGUGUCUUCUCUCCGCUCUCAUGAGCCUGACUAAAAGGGAACUGAGGGUAGGACGUCAAACCACAAGCUGAGAAUCUAACUUCUUGUGAGGGUGGGG
ensembl:lncRNA